CAGAGAAUAGUUUAAAUAAAAUAUUAAUUUUGGGAAUUAAAGAUAAAGGUUCUUUUUCUCUGA
rnacentral:tRNA from 1 species